GACGAACGCUGGCGGCGUGCCUAAUACAUGCAAGUUGAGCGCUGAAGGUUGGUACUUGUACCGACUGGAUGAGCAGCGCACGGGUGAGUAACGCGUGGGGAAUCUGCCUUUGAGCGGGGGACAACAUUUGGAAACGAAUGCUAAUACCGCAUAAAAACUUUAAACACAAGUUUUAAGUUUGAAAGAUGCAAUUGCAUCACUCAAAGAUGAUCCCGCGUUGUAUUAGCUAGUUGGUGAGGGAAAGGCUCACCAAGGCGUUGAUACAUAGCCGACCUGAGAGGGUGGUCGGCCACAUUGGGACGGAGACACGGCCCAAACUCCUACGGGAGGCAGCAGUAGGGAAUCCUCGGCGAUGGACGAAAGUCUGACCGAGCAACGCCGCGUGAGUGAAGAAGGGUUUCGGAUCGUAAAACUCUGUUGGUAGGGAAGAACGUUGGUGAGAGUGGAAAGCUCAUCAAGUGACGGUAACUACGCAGAAAGGGACGGCUAACUACGUG
rnacentral:rRNA from 1 species